AGGGUUGACGGAAGAAAGAGGUGAGCAAGUGAAAGAGGUCUGUACUGGAAGAGGGGAGAAAGUUAAAGAGCUACCACAGAAAUACGGUUCAAAACAAAACAAAAUUUCCAGAAGAAUCACCAGUCUGAAUAGCUCA